rnacentral:rRNA from 1 species
AUUGAACGCUGGCGUCAGGCUUAACACAUGCAAGUCGAACGAGUGGCGGACGGGUGAGUAAUGCUUGGGAAUCUGGCUUAUGGCGGGGGAUAACUACGGGUAACUGUAGCUAAUACCGCAUACCAUCGGCUGAGCCCAAGUGGGAUUAGGUAGUUGGUGAGGUAAAGGCUCACCAAGGCGACGAUCGCUAGCUGGUUGGAGAGGAUGACCAGCCACACUGGGACUGAGACACGGCCCAGACUCCUACGCGAGGCAGCAGUGGGGAAUAUUGCGCAAUGGGGGCAAGCUGAUGCAGCCAUGCCGCGUGAAUGAAGAAGGCCUUCGGGUUGUAAAGUACUUUCGGGAGCGAGGCGUUAACUACAGAAGAAGCACCGGCUAACUCCGUGCCAGCAGCCGCGGUAAUUC